GACGGUUUAUUCGCUUUAAUCAAUAUUUUGCAAAUCGUCGUGGUUAGGAAAACAUUUUAUUUUUAACACGUAAAAAUCAUCGAAGAACAUUUUCGUAAAAUAAGUGUAAAAAUGUUGCAUACCUAUAGACUUUGAACUCUGUAGUCCGAAAUUCUCACUUAAAAAGAAUAUUUCUACGUUACAACAAUUAUUGAUUUAAAUGGUGUAAUAAUUUGUAUAUCAGCGGUCUAUUUAAAAUGACGCAUAGAUAGCUAUGAGCCAUCUAUGGCUAGAUACACGGAGUGGUCAGUGUUCAGCAAUAUUUUUUCAAGUUAUUCUAUAUUAAAACGCUUCUUAGCGCCACUGUUCCGUAUAAGUAGGAGCAAAAUACCUGUGUUUUGUUUGGGUUAGAUACUAUCAUAAAUUCAUAAUUUGAAAAACUAAUAUAAAUUCAUAAUUUUUAGUGUAUUCGUUAGUUAACUUUCUACAUUAUCGAAAGUGACCAAAGUUGUGUCUUGAGCUAUGAUUGCUAGCAAAUUCUAUAAACGACAUUACGGGAUACUGAACAAAUAGAGUGGCGAAAAAUGUCUUAUCAGUGUUCCCGAUUAAUUUGCCUAUAAUUUGCCCCUCAUACUGAUGAAAAAUACUGCUUCUAUUACAAAUUAUAUUGUAGAUGGUUAAUUGUAAUUUUUAUUUAGUAGCGGUAAGAUAUUUGUAAGUUGUAAUACUUUAUUAUUACUACAAUAGUUGAC